AGUUGGAACUUGGAACCGACCGCCUCCCACCGGCCCCUGCCCGCACUACAUUAACAGCGCAUUUAUUGUCGCCAAAUGCUAUAUAUUGAGGGAGGAAAAGAUUGGAAAAAAAAAAAAAAAUUAGAUAAAAACCCAAUAUAUUUGCGAAAGAAAUUGAUAUUCUAUCGACUUUUUCCAAUUUCCGCCUGCAAAUUGUUCACCAACCAUGACAACUUCAAGGCGUUUGUCAGAUAGGAAGGUGAUGAAGUUUGAGAAGAACAUAAAGAAGAGAGGUGCAACAGCUGAAACAACUAAGAAGAAAGGCAGUUCUUAUCCUGUGGGUCCUGUGGUGCUUGGGUUCUUCAUAUUUGUCGUCAUUGGAUCUUCUAUAUUUCAGAUUAUCCGUACUGCGGCAAGUGGAGGAAUGGCUUGACAACUAAUGCCAGUAAAUUAGCAAUGAGUUUAACUAUAGGUGGAUUAUCAAUGAUGUAAGAUAUAGGUUUGUCAUCAACUGUCGGCAUGGACUGAUUAUGUCCUGGUGAAGUAAAAGUGAUGUGUGGAUUCUUAUGAUAGUAAUGGAUUAGUUCACACAUCUAUCUUUGAGAAAAGGCUGUUGGUUUAAUGGAUCUACUCUUUUUGUAUUUGCAUUUUAUCAAAUUGCUUCUGCUUUCAGGUUUGCCCACGGGGUUCGAGGGCUUAUUUAGUGUUCUUCUUAUACCAAUAUGUAUAAUUCAACUCUCA